AUUGAACGCUGGCGGCAGGCCUAACACAUGCAAGUCGAGCGGAUGAAGGGAGCUUGCUCCUGGAUUCAGCGGCGGACGGGUGAGUAAUGCCUAGGAAUCUGCCUGGUUGUGGUUGAUAACGUCCUGAAACGGGCGCUAAUACCGCAUACGUCCUUAGGUUGAAAGUGGGGGAUCUUCGGACCUCUCGCUAUCUUAUGAGCCUAGGUCGGUUUAGCUAGUUGGUGUGGUAAAGGCCUACCAAGGCGACGAUCCGUAACUGGUCUGAGAGGAUGAUCAGUCACACUGGAACUGAGACACGGUCCAGACUCCUACGGGAGGCAGCAGUGGGGAAUAUUGGACAAUGGGCGAAAGCAUGAUCCAGCCAUGCCGCGUGUGUGAAGAAGGUCUUCGGAUUGGAAAGCACUUUAAGUUGGGAGGAAGGGCAGCAAGUUAAUAACUUGAUGUUUUGACGUUACCAACAGAAUAAGCACCGGCUAACUUCGUG
rnacentral:rRNA from 1 species